AAAACAUUAAGCACUAACAAUGUAGUAUACUCUCAAAUACAAGGACAGGUCAGCAUGUUACUGGGAAUGGGCUUUUCUUCCAAGACUGGGAAGAUGUGCAGUCAGUGGCUCCCUGCUUCUUCUAAGGGUUAAGAUGCUCUUUCCCUUUCCCUCCUACACAGAGGAACUUCUCAUGGUUUCCCCUGCUCACACACCACCUGGGGUUAGAAGCUAUACCCCAUGCCUAAAAACUAUCUGAUCAUUCCCUAUUGCCUCCUAGUCUCUGGACAGCCACCAAGUUACCACAACAAACCUAUUCCAGGAUUCACUUUUGGUCUGUUUAAUUUUUAAAGUAAACAUAAAAAUGAAUGUUAUCUUCCUUCUGGGAAAAAAUUAAAUGACAUUCCAUUCCACCUCCAAGUAACUAGUAUAUGUAUACCAUAUUUAGUAGAUUUAGACCAUGAUGGUGUUGGCCCUAUUAGUUACUUGAAAGCAACAGAUAUGUAUGAAUGUACAUAUAUAACAUUUUUUAUACAUGAGACUAGACUUGUUGGUUCGAACUUAUGUAAAAUAUAUAAAUAUGCACAACCAUCUAACAUGCAGCUUCCUAUACUUCUGGAAAGCAACUUCAAAACACUAAUAAAUAAUUCAUAUUUACUAAGCAGCUCCACAUUUACUAAAUGAUAAUUGAUCUCUACUUCUUGUCAACAGCAAACUUUCAAACAGUUCAGAAAAGCAGCAAGUAUUAAAUAAAAACUGAGACUUUUUAAACUAUUCUUAAUAGCAAAAGGUAACUGUGUGUGUGUGUGUGUGUGUGUGUGUGUGUAGAGAGAGAGAGAGAGAGAGGCAGAGACAGAGACACAAAGAGUGAAUGUGUGAAUUGUGUAGUUAUAAACAUGCCUACCUCAACACAUUAAAAAUACAAAUCAGACCACCACUACUCUAGUACUUACUUUCUCCUGCUACUAUGAGCUUUCUGACAGUCCCUGCUGCCCAGAUACAGAAGCACUUCCAUUUUCACAGCUCCCCAAUUUUGUAUUUGUGGGUGAGUCUUGGUUUGGUUGAUGAGUCAUGGCUUUUAGAAAACAAAGUAUCACCAAUGCAUGUUCAUGUUUAUUCCUUUUUCUUUGUUACUGUAUACUAUUAUAAAGAACCCGGCCUCCACAUUGCCAAGAUCCAGAGUGAAAUAAUUUGAAGUGAAAUGUCUGCAGCAAAAGGAACAGCUAUAUCUAUACAUGUGUGUAUGUUCACAAUUUUUCUUUAUACACAUACGCAUACACUUCCCCAUGCUUACAGAUACGUAUGUAUACACAUACAUAACAUAUUUUUCAUACACGAGCUUUAUGACUAGACUUGUUGGUUCAAAACUUAUGUAAAAUGACCAUCUAACAUGCAGUUUCCUAUAAUUCCAUAUGCUGUCUGUAAGUAUAUACAUGGGUAUAUAUUUUCACAUAUUUGUGUAUUUCUGGAUACUUAUUUAAAUUAUAAGAAUGAAACACCUGGAUCGAAGGGUACAGGUAUGCCAACAACUUUGAUACAUUGUAAAGUGUUUCCAAAAUAAAACUACAGCAAGUUCUAACAGAAUCAAGGAAGAGUGCAUCCUGACAGCACUCACUCCCUUUCUCUCUGCCACUUACAGCUCCAUGCUAUCAUUUCUGCUUUCAUUCUUUUACUUGCUGAUAUUGUCUUUUUUUAAAGAUUUAUUUUAUUUAAUUUAUAUGAGUACACUGUAGCUGUUUUCAGACACUCCAGAAAAAGGCAUCGGAUCCCAUUACAGAUGGUUGUGAGCCACCAUGUGGUUGCUGGGAAUUGAACUCAGGACCUCUGGAAGAGCAGUCAGUGCUCUUAACCGCUGAGCCAUCUCUCCAGCCCUGAUAUUGUCUUUUUUAUUAUUCUUUGGCCAUUUGUAUAUAACAUAGUUUACAUUCUUUGCAGAUCUUUUUGCGUCUCAAAUCUCCAUCUUUGGGGUGGUUUUGUUUUUAACCUUUGGUGUGAGGUAUCUGUGUAUGCAAGUUCGUGUGUAAGGGCACAUGUGUGGAGAUCAGUGAACAGACUCUAAGGUUAGUUGUUUUCUGCCUUAUUUGCUGCUUUGUAUGUCAAGCUGACAGACCCGCAGGAGAUUGUCCUGUCUCCACCUACCUACCACCCAGCUGUUGAAACUGGGCUUACACAGGCAGGCUACUAGGCCCAGUUUGAGCUCUGGGUAUUCAAACUUGGACACUCACAUUUGUAAAGGAAGCACUUUUCUACCAAACCAUCUCCCCUAGCCCUCAUUUUUGGAUGUUUUGAAAAAAGGUCUCCCAUGCUGGCUUCAUAUUCAUAUGCUUCCUGCCUUGGCCUCUACAGUACAUAUAUUAUAACUAUUUGCCGCCAUGCCCCGUUACUCGCUGGCCUGUUUUUUUUUUUUAACUGAGUAAGUUCAAGGAGCACAUGUGUAACCAUGCUCCUGCGUAUAGAUGGAUGUGAGAGGGUUCACAUGCCAGUGUGGGGGUUAAAGGUGAAGUCAAAUGUCAAUCUUUAUAUACUGAGGCAGAAUUUCUCACUAGAGCCCAACUCACUGAUUUGGCCAAUCCAGUUAGUCCUUGUUCAGAGAACCUCCUUUCUCCACCUCUAUAGUAGUGGGGUCAUGAGGAUCUGAAUUCAGUCCCCAAUGCUUUUGUAUGGCAAGUGCUUGACCCACUGAGUCAUCUCCCCUGCCCUGUGGUCUGUGUUGUAGGGUGAUUUGUGUCUGAGUCCCUGCAAUGAGGAUAAAAUCAGUAAUGGAAGUCAGUCAAUUAUAGAGCCAAGAUGCAAUUAUAGAGCUCAGUGAUGGCAAUUUUCAUUUCUAUUUCCAUAACCCUAACCCCUCAAAAAAAGAAAAGGCCCUGAGAGAUGAACAUCUUCCCCCACAUUGUGUGGGGAGGAGAGGAAUCCUUCCUAUUCUCACUACAGAAUGAGUUUGCUAAUCCAAAACAGAAUAGUGUUUUCUUUUAUAAAAGACACAAAACUGUCAGGUUUCUAGACCACUGAGAGCAAAGCAAAGUUCCAGCUUUCAUGGAUUCUGUUUGCAGAGUGACUCACAGAUAACUGACUUUCAGUUGUAGCUGAUCCUUUGACAACAGAGAGAGAGAGAUCACCACCCGGUAAUCCAGUGAUCAUCCUGUAGUCUAGCCUGUACGUGUGAAGCCAAGUAGUGUUCAAGACUUGAGCCUCUCGACCUCAGUCUUGUCCCCUGCAAAAUAAGGACAAAAGUCUCUCAUUCAAAGGGCAACUCUGAAGAUAAAAUGGGUGCUUCGAGUUUAAGUAAAGCCACAUAUUCAUUAUUAGUUCAUCAUUCACUUUUUGAAGAGCACAUAGCCAACAGUCACUUGGAACUCCAAUACCUUCGUGAUUGCAUUUAUACGAAGAUGAAAAAUGCACAAUUCCUUCUCAUCCAACAGAUAGAGAAUAGACAGUGGGCAACGGGGGGUAGGGACUUAAAAGUCCAGAUUUUCAGCUUUUCAACUCCAGACACCUAGAGGAGCGGCAGUUUUCUGAAGUAGAGGAAAUUCCAGGUAGGGUAGCCAGAAGCCCCAGGGCCAACCAUGGUAUUUGGGAAACUCAAAUUCUCUGUGAAGCCAACCAGAGGUAUGCACUGCUUUGGGUUUUGUUUUAACCCUACACGGAUACUUAGGGGGUCCUUAUAAGAGACCCUCAAACUCAUUUUAUUUAGCGGAUCCAUGCUUCAGCCUAGGUUCUAUUGCAAGGUCUACUGCAGAUCUACUGCAAUGUCAUACACCAGGGGAAUGGAAAAGCAGCAGCCGGUCCUGCCCUGACCUCUCAGUUUCAGCAAGGCCUUUAGCUGAGUUAGUUUGGCUAUUCCCAGGUCUUGCCAUCCUCCUAUGUCUAGUACUGGUAUUUGGAGUCCACUCUGUAAGACCCUGCCAGCUGUCGCCCUGAAUUGAUACUUUACUGCAGCCAGAACACUAGGCCGGAGCUCGUAAAGGAGAAGCCACCAAGUCUCAGGGCCGCAAAUCCAAGUCCGGGUCUCACGCCACCUUGCACAGCUGGGCCACCCAGACCAGCUAGGCUUCCGCUGGUGAACUCAGAACAGGUCCAGACCGAUAGCCCUCUGUCCCGCGAGCACCUUCGCAGGCCUGCUAGAAGGAUCCUGGGUUCUACUUGCCGCUUUCUCAAGCUCCGAGCUCCGGACCCGCACGAGCCAGGACUGACCAAGCGCGAUCCCUCCGUCUCGGCCGGCGCGUCCCUGGGUUCAACCGCUCCUUUUUCUCCUUCCCCCACUUUUCCUGUUCCGCGGGGGCCGCGGUGGAGGCGGGGAGGCAGCGGAGAAGGGGGCAGCCGGGAGGGGGGAGGGGACCGGAGAGGGAGGCGACACGGGGCGGGGAAAGAGGAAGAGCCGGGGAUGCUCCGCUAGCGCUCGCGCUUAAAACCGAAAAUAAACAACGUCCUCGGGCUGCGGCCUCGUGUCUGCCGGACUGCG
ensembl:lncRNA